GACGAACGCUGGCGGCGUGCUUAACACAUGCAAGUCGAACGGUAAGGCCCUGCUUUUUUGUUGUGCUUGAGUGGCGAACGGGUGAGUAACUCGUGAGUAACCUGCCCUCGACUUUGGGAUAACUUCAGGAAACUGGGGCUAAUACCGGAUAGGUGCUCCUGCUCCAUGGUGGGGUUUGGCAGGGUUCGGUGGCUGGGGAUGGACUCGCGGCUUGUCAGCUUGCUGGUGGGGUAUCGGCUUACUAAGGCGUUGACGGGUUACCGGCCUGAGAGGGUGACUGGCCACAUGGGGACUGAGAUACGGCCCGGACUCCUGCGGGAGGCAGCAGUGGGGAAUAUUGCACGAUGGGCGGAAGUCUGAUGCAGCAACGCCGCGUGCGGGAUGACGGCCUUCGGGUUGUAAGCCGCUUUCGCCUGUGACGAAGCGUGAGUGACGGUAAUGGGUAAAGAAGCACCGGCUAACUACGUG
rnacentral:rRNA from 1 species